AUCAUUUAAUGUAACCUUAUUUUUUGGAUUAAGCCCGAGUUGUUUUAAGCUGUCAGUUAAACAAUGAAUACAUGUGGGUAGUAGAAACCGUACUACCCACAUGUAUUAUGCAAUUAAUUUGAUAAGGUAGUAGUAGUAAAUAAAGCGUUUAUAAAUCUUUACGCAGUUGCACCAUUU